UACGAAGGGGGCUAGCGUUGUUCGGAAUCACUGGGCGUAAAGGGCGCGUAGGCGGCUUUAUAAGUCGGGGGUGAAAGCCUGUGGCUCAACUCCAGAACUGCCUCCGAUACUGAGAGUCUUCGAGUCCGGGAGAGGUGAGUGGAACUGCGAGUGUAGAGGUGAAAUUCGUAGAUAUUCGCAAGAACACCAGUGGCGAAGGCGGCUCACUGGCCCGGUACUGACGCUGAGGUGCGAAAGCGUGGGGAGCAAACAGG
rnacentral:rRNA from 1 species